rnacentral:rRNA from 1 species
AGGACGAACGCUGGCGGCGUGCUUAACACAUGCAAGUCGAACGGUGAAGGAGAGCUUGCUCUCCGGAUCAGUGGCGAACGGGUGAGUAACACGUGAGCAACCUACCCUUGACCCUGGGAUAACAGUUGGAAACAGCUGCUAAUACCGGAUACGACCCUGGCAGGCAUCUGCCGGGGUGAAAGCUCCGACGGUCAAGGAUGGGCUCGCGGCCUAUCAGCUUGUUGGUGAGGUAACGGCUCACCAAGGCGUCGACGGGUA